rnacentral:rRNA from 1 species
GACAGAGGGUGCAAACGUUGCUCGGAAUCACUGGGCGUAAAGGGCGUGUAGGCGGGAAGGAAAGUCAGAUGUGAAAUCCCCAGGCUCAACCUGGGAACUGCAUUUGAAACUCCCUUUCUUGAGUACCGGAGAGGAAAGUGGAAUUCCUGGCGUAGAGGUGAAAUUCGUAGAUAUCAGGAGGAACACCAGUGGCGAAGGCGGCUUUCUGGACGGUAACUGACGCUGAGACGCGAAAGCGUGGGGAGCAAACAGG